GGAGAGAGCAAUCAGCUGGGAAGGAACAGGAAAAGCCUCUGUGCAGAGGACAGGAACAGUGUGUGGGGAUCCAGGCAAACUUCUGGAGUCUCUUCUUGAUGGUAGUGCCCUAACAUGACUACACCAUUAUCCAUGGGGGACAAGGGCAGUGAGAGGUUCACUGGAGGCAGCUGCUGGUUACUUUCUUGGAGAACUAGACGCAGAAAUCACUAUAGAGGAAGUUUCUAAAGUGCUUGAGAUAGCUGAUGUAUAGAUCCACACCAUGGGUACGGGCCAGAUAGAAGUGGGCAGGGAAAGCCCAGCAUUGAUUCUCCAAUGCUGCUUUUACAGAGUGAAAACUCUCUCUGCCUAUUAUGGCAGCAAUCUUGAAAGGAUCAUUAAACUUAUGUUUACAACUCAGAAUGGCCCAGUGUCACCAGCCUUUUUGAAAACUUGUUUCCAGAUGUCAAAAAUGUUGUCCACAUGCUAGCUAUUGUGCAAAAAAUGGAAGAGUGAGAGACUGCUUGCUGCUCUAUCAAUGACUUCAACUGUCACAGAAAAAAGCUGA